rnacentral:snRNA from 1 species
AGCUUUGCGCAGUGGCAGUGUCAUAGCCAGUGAGGUUUUUCCGAGGCGUGAUGAUUGCUAAUGGAAAAUGAACAGCACAAGGCAGUGGACCUUGUGGGGAGUUGAGAUAUUUUCACAUACCUGGCGACAGA